GACGUAGGGCGCGAGCGUUGUCCGGAUUUAUUGGGCGUAAAGAGCGUGUAGGCGGCUUUACAGGUCCGUUGUGAAAACUCGAGGCUCAACCUCGAGACGCCGGUGGAAACCGUAAGGCUAGAGUCCGGAAGAGGAGAGUGGAAUUCCUGGUGUAGCGGUGAAAUGCGCAGAUAUCAGGAGGAACACCCGUGGCGAAAGCGGCUCUCUGGGACGGUACUGACGCUGAGACGCGAAAGCGUGGGGAGCGAACAGG
rnacentral:rRNA from 1 species